CAGUGGGGAAUAUUGCACAAUGGGCGAAAGCCUGAUGCAGCGACGCCGCGUGAGGGAUGACGGCCUUCGGGUUGUAAACCUCUUUCAGCAGGGACGAAGCGCAAGUGACGGUACCUGCAGAAGAAGCACCGGCCAACUACGUGCCAGCAGCCGCGGUAAUACGUAGGGUGCAAGCGUUGUCCGGAAUUAUUGGGCGUAAAGAGCUCGUAGGCGGCUAGUCGCGUCGGCUGUGAAAACCUGGGGCUCAACCCCGGGCCUGCAGACGAUACGGGCUAGCUAGAAUUCGGUAGGGGAGACUGGAAUUCCUGGUGUAGCGGUGAAAUGCGCAGAUAUCAGGAGGAACACCGGUGGCGAAGGCGGGUCUCUGGGCCGAUAUUGACGCUGAGGAGCGAAAGCGUGGGGAGCGAACAGGAUUAGA
rnacentral:rRNA from 1 species